rnacentral:rRNA from 1 species
GCCGUGUCUAGCCCAAAAACCAACCAAUAACGCAACUACUAAUAGCAAUCUAAAAUAAAACAUUCACAAACCACCUAAAAGUAUAGGAGAUAGAAAUUUCAACAAGGCGCUAUAGAGAAAGUACCGCAAGGGAACGAUGAAAGAACAACACUUAAAGCAACAAACAGCAAAGCUUACCCCUUGUACCUUUUGCAUAAUGGUUUAACUAGAAUAACUUAGCAAAGAGACCUUAAGUUAAGCACCCCGAAACCAGACGAGCUAUUUAUAAGCAGCCCCACAGAGCGAACUCAUCUAUGUAGCAAAAUAGUGAAAAGACUUAUAAAUAGAGGUGAAAAGCCUACCGAGCCUGGUGAUAGCUGGUUGUCCAGCAAAAGAACUUCAGUUCAACUUUAAGCCUACCUAACAAACCCUCAAUUCAACUGUAGACUUAAAACAUAGUCUAAAAGGGAACAGCCUUUCAGACACAGGUUACAACCUUAUCUAGAGAGUAAGUAUAAAAAUAAACCAUAGUUGGCCUAAAAGCAGCCAUCAAUAAAGAAAGCGUUCAAGCUCAACAAUUUAAUUACCCUAAUUCCAAUAAUAUUACCAUCUCCUAGUAACUAAAACUGGACCACUCUAUAAUUAUAUAGAAGAGAUACUGUUAAUAUGAGUAACAAGAAUCCUAUUCUCCCAUGCACAAGCAUAUAUCAGAACGAAUACCCACUGAUAGUUAACACAUGUAAAGUUAAACCAAACAACAAGUCCUUUACACUAUUAAUGUUAACCCAACACAGGAGUGCUCCAGGGAAAGAUCAAAAGGAGUAAAAGGAACUCGGCAAACACGAACCCCGCCUGUUUACCAAAAACAUCACCUCUAGCAUCUCAAGUAUUAGAGGCACUGCCUGCCCAGUGACAUACGUUCAACGGCCGCGGUAUCCUGACCGUGCAAAGGUAGCAUAAUCACUUGUUCUCUAAAUAAGGACUUGUAUGAAUGGCCACACGAGGGUUCCACUGUCUCUUACUCCCGAUCAGUGAAAUUGACCUCCCCGUGAAGAGGCGGGGAUAUAAAAAUAAGACGAGAAGACCCUAUGGAGCUUUAAUUAAUUAACCUAAGAGUAAUAUAACACCAACCGAAAGGAAUAAAACUAAUCUCAAUUAUAGGUUAACAAUUUAGGUUGGGGUGACCUCGGAGCACAAAACACCCUCCGAGCAAUACAAGCCUAGACUUACCAGUUGAAGCUACUAACACUUAUUGAUCCAAAAAUCUUUGAUCAACGGAACAAGUUACCCUAGGGAUAACAGCGCAAUCCUAUUCAAGAGUCCCUAUCGACAAUAGGGUUUACGACCUCGAUGUUGGAUCAGGACAUCCCAAUGGUGCAGCAGCUAUUGAUGGUUCGUUUGUUCAACGAUUAAAGUCCUACGUGAUCUGAGUUCAGACCGGAGUAAUCCAGGUCGGUUUCUAUCUAUUUUUACGCCUCUCCCAGUACGAAAGGACAAGAGAGACAAGGCCCCCUUAACUACUAAGCGCCUUCCAGCCUAACAGAUGACCUAAACUCAAUCUGAUAUGCUAUAAUCACUAACCGCCCUAGACAUAGGGCUCAGUUAAAG